GUUCCAGCAAUACCGGGGCAAUUGUGGCAGAAACAAAUGCUAAUGUUGGAAUGACACAGGGAAGAUUAGUGCUGCCCCUGCACAUGGAUGAUAUGCAAAUUUGUGAAGUGUUCUAUAUUAAA
ensembl:snRNA U6 U6 spliceosomal RNA